rnacentral:rRNA from 1 species
GACGAACGCUGGCGGCGUGCUUAACACAUGCAAGUCGAACGGAAAGGCCCUGCUUUCGUGGGGUGCUCGAGUGGCGAACGGGUGAGUAACACGUGAGUAACCUGCCCUUCACUUUGGGAUAACUUCAGGAAACUGGGGCUAAUACAGGAUAGGAGCCCCCGUUGCAUGGUGGGGGUUGGAAAGUCUCGGCGGUCGGGGAUGGACUGGCGGCUUAUGAGCUUGUUGGUGGGGUAGUGGCUUACCAAGGCUUUGACGGGUAGCCGGCUUGAGAGGGUGACCGGCCACCUUGGGACUGAGGUACGGACCAGACUCCAACAGGAGGCAGCAGUGGGGAAUAUUGCACAGUCGGCGGGAGCCUGAUGCAGCGACGCCGCGUUCGUGAUGACGGUCUUCGGGUAGUGAACCGCAUUCGCCUGUGACGAAGCGGUAGUGACGGUAAUGAGUGAAGAAGCACCGGCUAACUACGUG